rnacentral:misc_RNA from 1 species
UCUUGCCUAUACUGGAGGGCACUGGCAGGAACAUUUUCCAACUUCUGGGUUACAACUUCCCCUGCUUGUGUGCGCCGGUUCAACUCUUCCAAUUUCGCAAGAGCCUUGGCUCUUUGCUCUCUUGUCCGUUCUUCCUCUUCCUUCUCUUGCUGCUUAAGUUGCUUGGCUAGCUCUCUCAUCUUAGCACGCUGGCUGUCACUUGGUUCAAAGGCAAGUGGCAUGGAUUCUCCCCCAUCCUUCCCAGAAGGAGCUUCUGCUGAAUUAUGGUCUUGACCAUGAACAGAAGAAAUUUCACAAUGUACAGAUGACACUAUGCAUUGUGGGUCUGCAACUAGAGAUUUUUUCUGCCACCCAUCAGACUCUUGAGUAUUUAAUCUUCCUUUACCACGAUUAUCUACUCUACCAUGCAUGCCAUAAAUGGAUCUCCUGGAUCCAGCUGUUCCACUGACUACUGUUGAUUCAAGGCUCCUAUCUCCAGCAGAGAAGCAGGCUUCGUGUGGGGCAGUGUUGAUAAUUCCACAAGUCUUUUCAGGAGAUAAAGAACCAAUCCCUGCCUCAUUUGUAGAACGACCAGCCAUGGCAUUACCGACUUGUAAUUUAUUCUUCUGCUCCUCCCUACCAGAGACAGGUUUAACAUCUUGCCGUCCAUCAGAAGAUCGGGUUUUUGCAUUUAAACCUUCUAUUUUCUGAAUCAGACUGGAAUCUUUU